rnacentral:rRNA from 1 species
GACGAACGCUGGCGGCGUGCCUAAUACAUGCAAGUCGAACGCUGAAGAGAGGAGCUUACUCUUCUUGGAUGAGUUGCGAACGGGUGAGUAACGCGUAGGUAACCUGCCUUGUAGCGGGGGAUAACUAUUGGAAACGAUAGCUAAUACCGCAUAACAAUGGAUGACACAUGUCAUUUAUUUGAAAGGGGCAAUUGCUCCACUACAAGAUGGACCUGCGUUGUAUUAGCUAGUAGGUGAGGUAAUGGCUCACCUAGGCGACGAUACAUAGCCGACCUGAGAGGGUGAUCGGCCACACUGGGACUGAGACACGGCCCAGACCCCUACGGGAGGCAGCAGUAGGGAAUCUUCGGCAAUGGGGGCAACCCUGACCGAGCAACGCCGCGUGAGUGAAGAAGGGUUUCGGAUCGUAAAGCUCUGUUGUAAGUCAAGAACGGGUGUGAGAGUGGAAAGUUCACACUGUGACGGUAGCUUACCAGAAAGGGACGGCUAACUACGUG